UGUGGGAGCGGGCUUGCUCGCGAAGGCGGUGGCUCAGUCGAUACAUAAAUUGACUGACGCACCGCCUUCGCGAGCAAGCCCGCUCCCACA
rnacentral:misc_RNA from 1 species